UUUAGUUAUGAGUCAGGAGUUGAAAGCAACAUAUUCUUUCUUUUCCAAAUUUACCAGUGUCCUUAUUUCUUUUUUUUUUUUAUUUUUUUUAACGUUUUAUUUAUUUUUGAGACAGGGAGAGACAGAGCAUGAACAGCGGAGGGUCAGAGAGAGGGAGACACAGAAUCCGAAACAGGCUCCAGGCUCUGAGCUGUCAGCACAGAGCCCGACGCGGGGCUCGAACCCACGGACCAUGAGAUCAUGACCUGAGCCGAAGUCGGCUGCUCAACCGACUGAGCCACCCAGGCGCCCCCAGUGUCCUUAUUUCUUGCAGCUAAUUGCUUUCCUCCAGCACUUAGAAAAUCUGCAGAAAGAAUGUGAGAGCAGUCCUGUCUGCAUGGGUGCAAUUUCUUAAGGAAGGGACCCUCGCAUAUCUGAACAUGAUCUCUCCCUUUGAGCUCAAGAUGGGUGCUCAGGGGAACGUGUAGAAAAGGACAAUCCCAGCCCCUCCCAAAAGGGAACUAGGCAUUGGAGGAGCAAUGGAAAAGUCCAGAAGAAGAUGCACAUGACAGAGCUGUGCCAGAUGUGGUGUGAUUAUUGAUUCUGUUCCAAGUAGUCUUGGACUGUGAUCAAAAUCAGAAAAAAAAAGUGCUUUAACAGAAAAUGUACCCAGGUAAUAUCAGUUUCUGGCUCAAGCUGGCCAGUGAAUGCAUGUACACGGCAGAGCCUGUUUGAAAGACUACUUUGGAAUAUUUUUUUUAAUUUUAUUUUAGAGAGAGCACGCAGACAAUGGGGAGAGACAGAGAAACGUAAGCAGGCUCCACACUCAGCGCAGAGCUCAACGUGGGGAUCAAUUCCAUGUCUCUGGGAUCACGACCUGAGCCAAAAUCAUGAGUCGGACCCUCAACCGACUGAGCCACCUGGGCACCCCUUGAGAGACUACUUUGGAAGCCAGAUCAUGGACGACCAAGUUCACUGCCUCAACUGCCCCAAACCAAAGUGCCCUUUGUGGCCACCUGUGGUCAGGGGAAAGGACUAGUGCCCGAGGAAUCAUUUGCGUAUUAUGACCACGUUCUCCUCCAGUCCUCCCGGGACCUGAUGGGGGUGUGCUGACCUUGGCUCCCAUUCAUGCUGCCAGCUGUGAUGGCUCCACCAUGGGCAUGUGUGCCCGCCACAGUUAUGCCUUCUGUAUUCUGUGCCAACCGACCCCCCCUUAGAGCCCCUCCACAGGAGAUGACUGUAGGAUGUUGGGAUGUGUGAACUUGACAAACUAGAAAAAAAAAGCGCCUUCAUUUUAAUGGUAAUUUUAUUUCUUUUAUUUCUUUAUUUCAUCAUUUAUGCUCUUGGCAUAACCUGUUGUAGGUUCUGGGAAUACAGCGUCGAACCAAAGACACAAACACCUCUGUCGGCACGGAGCUUACUUUCUACCGGUGGGGACACAGGCAAUGAGCCAAGCAAAUAAGGAUAUUACGAGGUGGCCAAAAGAGAACUUUAGACUUAGAGUCUAGGACACCAAGCAGGCUCCACACUGUCAAUGCAGAGUCCGACUCAGGGCUUGAACCCAUGAAAUGUGAGAUCAUGACCUGAGCCAAAAUCAAGAGUCGAACACUUAACCAACUGAGCCACCUAACCACCCCUCCCUCUGGAAAUGUGGUGGGUAUAAGAUGUCACGUACUAGCUAUAUGUAGUAUUUCUGCUGGAUUUGGUUGCAUUCUCUGUCAAGAACAAAAAACCCUUAGAAGCAUUUUAGUGAUCCUGCCUCUGCCUGUUUUAACCAGUUUUGUAUACAAACUUCCCCAGGCACAAGAGUAACUUUGUUGGGGCGUAUAAUUUGCAGAAUGUAAAUCUGGUGCUUAACUAAGUACUCAAAUUCAUUUAGAAAUCCCCUUAAAUGUAUUACAAGUAUUAGUGACAUUUUAUAUAAUUUUCUUGAAAAUGAGUUUUAUGAUGGCGACAUAUAUCAUGUCUGGAAAUACUUAUUUUUAUAUCCUUUCCUUGCCCAAUUUAUUUUUAUUGUCAAAUUAUCACAAAUGCUCAGGAAAAUUGAAGGAAUACUGGGAUAAUGAACCUGGCACAUCUUUUACCUAUAUACUUAAAAAAAUUUUUUUUAAUGUUUAUUUAUUUUUGAGAGAGACAGGAAUGCAAGUGGGUUAGGGGCAGAGAGAGGGGGAGACACAGAACCUGAAGCAGGCUCCAGGCUCCGAGCUGUCAGCACAGAGCCCGACACGGGGCUCGAACUCACAAGCUGUGAGAUCAUGACCUGAGCUGAAGUCAGACGCUCAACUGACUGAGCCACCCAGGUGCCCCUCACCUAUAUACUUUUUUAAUGUAAAUGCUGUCAUAUUUGUUUUCUCUGUGUCUGUCUCCUGAACCUUGUGAAAAUAAGUUACAGCUGUCAUGACACUUAUAAUUCUAGAUAUAUCCAUUAAACUUCUUCAAAAAAGAAGUGUUCCUUCAUAACCACAAUGCUAUUGCCACAUCUAAAAACAAUUAACAAUAAUGUAAUAAUAUCAUCAUAUACCUAGUCCAUAUUCAAAUUUCCCCAAUUACCCAAAUGUCUUUUAUAGCUAUUUUGAGAAUAAGUAUCUAGUUCAUGCAUUGCACUUGUGUUUAGAUAUUACGUCUCUUCAGAUUCUUUUAAUCUAUAACACAUCUAUGGUAAAACCUUGGUUUGCGAGCAUAAUUUGUUCUGGAAACAUGCUUAUAAUCCAAAGCACUUGUAUAUCAAAGUGAAUUUCAAGAACCAUUGGCUCAGUUAUGAUCAUGUGACAUUCAGCAUCAUGUACUACUUGUAUUGCAAGACAUCACUCAUUUAUCAAGUUAAAAUUUAUUUUAAAUUAAAAUUUAUUCCACUCAUCUUGCAGAACACUCCCAGAACAAGUUACUUGCAAUCCAAGGUUUUACUGUAUUUACCACCUUCCUUAUGACAUUGGCUUUUUGAAAAGUUGUCUUGUAAGGAAAGAAUUAUGAAAGCAGCAAGGGGAAAAAAGUUCUUAACCUAUAAAGGAAGACAGAUCAGGUUCACAGCAGACCUAUCCACAGAAACUUGGCAGGCUAGAAAGGAGUGGCAGGAAAUAUUCAACAUACUGAACCGGAAAAAUCUGCAGCCAAGAAUUCUUUAUCCAACAAGACUGUCAAUCAAAAUAGAAGGAGAGAGAGAUAAAGAGUUUCUCAGACAAACAAAACUAAACUAAAGGAGUUUAUGACCACUAAAUCAGCCCUGCAAGAAAUUUUAAGGCGGAUUCUUUGAGUGGAGAAAAGACAAAACAAAGCAAAACUAAAAAGACCAAAAGCAACAAAGACUAGAAAGGACCAGAGAACAUCACCAGAAACACCAAUUCUACUGGCAACACAACGGCACUAAAUUCAUAUCUUUCAGUACUUACUCUAAAUGUCAAUGGACUAAAUGCUCCAAUCAAAAGACACAGGGUACCAGAAUGGAUAAGAAAACAAGACCCAUCUAUAUGCUGCUUACAAGAGAUCCAUUUUAGACCUAAAGACAUCUGCAGAUUUAAAGUCAGGGGAUAGAGAACCAUCUAUCAUGCUACAGUCAUCAAAAGAAAGCUGGAGUAGCCAUACUUACAUCAGACAAACUAGAUUUUAAAAUAAAAGCUAUAACAAGAGAUGACAAAGGGCAUUGUAUCAUAAUUAAGGGGUCUAUCUACCAAGAAGAUCUAACAAUUGUAAAUAAUUAUGCCCCCCAGGAUGUAUUCAAUGUGCUAAAUCGGAAAAAUAUGAAGCCAAGAACGUUUUAUCCAGCAAGGCUGUCAUUCAAAAUAGAAGGAGAGGCAAAAAGUUUCCCAGACAAAUAAAAAUUAAAGGAGUUCGUGACCACUAAACCAGCCCUGCAAAAAAAUUUAAGGGGGACUCUGAGGGGAGAAAAGAUGAAAAAAAAAGAGACCAAAAGCAACAAAGACUAGAAAGGACCAGAGAACACCACUGGAAACACCAACUCUACAGGCAACAUAAUGGCAAUAAAUUCAUAUAUUUCAGUACUCACUCUAAAUGUCAAUGGACUAAACGCUCCAAUCAAAAGACAUAGGGUAACAGAAUGGAUAAGAAAACAAGAUCCAUCUAUAUGCUGUUUACAAGAGACCCACUUUAGACCUAAAGACACCUUCAGAUUGAAAGUAGGGGGGUGGAGAACUAUCUAUCAUGCUAAUGGUCGCCAAAAGAAAGCCAGAGUAGCCAUACUUAAAUCAGACAAUCUAGAUCUUAAAAUAAAGACUGUAACAAGAGAUGCAGAAGGGCAUUAUAUCAUAAUGAAGGGGUCUAUCCAUCAAGAAGAUCUAACAAUUGUAAACAUUUAUGCUCCAAAUGUGGGAGUACCCAAAUAUAUAAAUCAAUUAGUCACAAACAGAAAGAAACUCAUUGAUAAUAAUAUCACAAUAGUAGGGGACUUGAACACCCACCUACAGCAAUGGACAGAUCAUCUAAACAGAAAAUCAACAAGGACACAAUGGCUUGGAAUGACACACUGGACCAGAUGGACUUCACAGAUAUAUUCAGAACAUUUCAUCCUAAAGCAGUGGAAUAGAUAUUCUUCUCCAGUGCAUAUGGAACAUUCUCCAGAAUAGAUCGCAUGCUGGAACACAAAUCAGCCCUUAACAAGUACAAAGAUUGAGAUCGUACCAUGCAUAUUUUCAGAUCACAAUGCUAUGAAACUCAAAAUCAACCACAAGAAAAAAUUUGGAAAGAUGACAAAUACUUGGAGACUAAAGAAUAUCCUAUUAAAGAAUGAAUGGGCUAACCAAGAAGUUAAAGAGGAAAUUAAAAAGUACAUAAAUGAUAACACCACAGCCCAAAAUCUCUGGGAUGGAGCAAAGGCAGUCAUAAGGGGGAAGCAUGUAGCAAUCCAGGCCUUCCUAAAGAAGAAAGAAGGAAGAGGGUUGUGUCUCAGAUACAUAACCUAACCUUACACCUUAAGGAGCUGGAAAAAGAACAGCAAAUAAAGCCCCAAACCAUCAGAAGACAGGAAAUAAUAAAGAUCAGAGCAGAAAUCAAUGCUAUCGAAACCAAAACAAAACAAAACAAAAAGAAAAAAAAACAGAAUAGAUCAAUGAAACCAGAAGCUGGUUCUUUGAAUUAACAAAAUUGAUAACCCCUGGCCAGACUGAUCAAAAAGAAAAAGGAAAGGACCCAAAUAAAUAAAAUCAAAAAUGAAAGAGGAAAGAGGCACCUGGGUGGUCCAGUUGGUCGUGUGUCUGACUUCGGCUCAGGUCAUGAUCUCGCCGUUUGUGAAUUCGAGCCCCGCAUCAGGCUCUGUGCUGACACCUCAGAGCCUGGAGCCUGCUUUGGAUUCUGUGUCUCCCUCUCUCUCUGCCCCUUGCUUGCUCAUGCUCUGUCUGUCUCUCUCUCUCUCAAAAAUAAGCAUUAAAAAUUAAAAAAAAAAAAAGAAUGAAAAGAGGAGAGAUCACAACCAACACAGCAGAAAUACAAACAAUAAUAAGAGAAUAUUAUGAGCAACUAUAUGCUAACAAAAUGGGCAAUCUGGACGAAAUGGACAAAUUCCUAGAAACUUAUAAAGUACCAAAACUGAAACAGGAAGAAAUAGAAAAUUUGAGUAGACCCAUAAUCAGUAAAGAAAUCGAAUCAGUAAUCAAAAAUCUCACAAAACACACAAGUCCAGGGUCAGAUGGCUUUCCAGGGGAAUUCUACAAAACACUUAAAGAAGAAUUAACACCUAUUCUCUUAAAGCUGUUCUAAAAAUAGAAAUGGAAGGAAAACUUCCAAACUCAUCCUAUGAAGCCAGCAUUACCUUGAUUCCAAAACCAGACAAAGACCCCACUAAAAAGGAGAACUACAGACCCAUUUCCCUGAUGAACAUGGAUGCAAAAAUCCUCAACAAGAUACUAGCCAACCGGAUCCAACAUUAAAAGAUUUAUUCACCACGACCAAGUGGGAUUUAUACCUGGGAUGCAGGGCUGGUUCAAUAUCCGUAAAAAAAUCAAUGAGAUUCAUCACAUCAAAAAGAAAGGACAAGAACCACACGAUCCUCUCAAUAGAUGCAGAGAAAGCAUUUGACAAAAUACAGCAUCCUUUUUUGAUAAAAAAAACCCUCAAGAAAGUAGGAAUAGAAGGAUCCUACCUUGAGAUCAUAAAAGCCAUAUAUGAAGGACCCAACGCUAAUAUCCUCAAUGGGGAAAAACUGAGAGCUUUCCCCCUAAGGUCAGGAACAAGACAGGGAUGUCCACUCUCACCACUGUUACUCAACACGGUAUUGGAAGUCUUAGCCUCAGCAAUCAGACAACACAAAAGAAUAAAAGGCAUCCAGAUCGGCCAGGAGGAGGUCAGACUUUCACUCUUCCCAGAUGACAUGAUAUAUGGAAAACUCAAAAAACUCCACCAAAAAACUGCUAGACCUGAUCCAUGAAUUCAGCAGUCGCAGGAUAUAAAAUCAAUGUACAGAAAUCGGUUGCAUUUCUAUACACGAAUAAUGUAGCAACAGAAAGAGAAAUCAAGGAAUCGAUCCCAUUUACAAUUGCACCAAAACCUAUAAAAUACCUAGGAAUAAACCUAACCAAAGAGGCCAAAAAUCUAUACACUGAAAACUAUAGAAUGCUUAUGAAAACUGAAGACACAAAAAAAACAAGAAAACAUUCCAUGCUCAUGGAUUGGAAGAACAAUCCAUUUUUAAAUAAUAUUGUUAAAAUGUCAAUAUUACCCAAAGCAAUCUAUGUAUUCAAUGCAAUCCCUAUCAAAAUAACACCAGCAUUCUUCACAGAGCUAGGACAAACAAUCCUAAAGUUUGUAUGGAACGAGAAAACACCCCAAAUAGCCAAAGCAACCCUGAAAAAGAAAACCAAGGUGGGAGGCAUCACAAUUCUGGACUUGAAGUUGUAUUACAAAGCUGUAAUCAUGAAGACAGUAUGGUACUGGCACAAAAACAGACACAUAGAUCAGUGGAACAGAAUAGAGAAUCCAGAAAUGGACCCACAGACGUAUGGCCAACUAAUCUUUGACAAAGCAGGAAAGAAUAUCCAACAGAAAAAAG